CGGAACGGGUGAGUAAUGCGUGACCAACCUGCCCCAUGCUCCAGAAUAGCUCUUGGAAACGGGUGGUAGUGCUGGAUGCUCCAACUUGACGCAUGUCUUGUUGGGAAAGUGUUUAGUGGCAUGGGAUGGGGUCGCGUCCUAUCAGCUUGUAGGCGGGGUAAUGGCCCACCUAGGCUUCGACGGGUAGCCGGCCUGAGAGGGCGGACGGCCACAUUGGGACUGAGAUACGGCCCAGACUCCUACGGGAGGCAGCAGGG
rnacentral:rRNA from 1 species